rnacentral:rRNA from 1 species
GACGAACGCUGGCGGCGUGCUUAACACAUGCAAGUCGAACGGAAAGGCCCAGCUUGCUGUGGACUCGGGUGGCGAACGGGGGAGUAACACGUGGGUUAUCUGCCCUCAACUUUGGGAGAAGAACCGGAAACAGGGGCUAAUACAGGAGAUGAUCAACUGUCUUAGGGGUGUUGGUGGAGAGCUUUUGCGGUUGGGGAUGUGCUCGCGGCCUAUCAGCUUGUUGGUGGGGUAAUGGCCUACCAAGGCGACGACGGGUAGCCGGCCUGAGAGGGUGAUCCGCCACGCUGGGACUGAGGCACGGCCCAGCCUCCUACGGGACGCAGCAGUGGGGAAUAGUGCACAAUGGGCGCAAGCCUGGUGCAGCGGCGCCGUGUGGGGUAUGACCGCCUUCGGGUUGUAAACCUCUUUCUCCAGGCACGAAGCGUGAGUGACGGUACCUGGAGAAGAAGCACCGGCCAACUACGUG